rnacentral:rRNA from 1 species
UACGUAGGGGGCAAGCGUUGUUCGGAUUCAUUGGGCGUAAAGGGUGCGUAGGCGGCGCGGUAAGUCGGGGGUGAAAUCUCGGGGCUUAACUCCGAAACUGCAUUCGAUACUGUCGUGCUUGAGGACUGGAGAGGAGACUGGAAUUUACGGUGUAGCGGUGAAAUGCGUAGAUAUCGUAAGGAAGACCAGUGGCGAAGGCGGGUCUCUGGACAGUUCCUGACGCUGAGGCACGAAGGCUAGGGGAGCAAACGGG